rnacentral:rRNA from 1 species
UGGGGAAUUUUGGACAAUGGGGGAAACCCUGAUCCAGCCAUCCCGCGUGUGCGAUGAAGGCCUUCGGGUUGUAAAGCACUUUUGGCAGGAAAGAAACGUCGCGGGUUAAUACCCCGCGAAGCUGACGGUACCUGCAGAAUAAGCACCGGCUAACUACGUGCCAGCAGCCGCGGUAAUACGUAGGGUGCAAGCGUUAAUCGGAAUUACUGGGCGUAAAGCGUGCGCAGGCGGUUCGGAAAGAAAGAUGUGAAAUCCCAGAGCUUAACUUUGGGAACUGCAUUUUUAACUACCGGGCUAGAGUGUGUCAGAGGGAGGUGGAAUUCCGCGUGUAGCAGUGAAAUGCGUAGAUAUGCGGAGGAACACCGAUGGCGAAGGCAGCCUCCUGGGAUAACACUGACGCUCAUGCACGAAAGCGUGGGGAGCAAACAGGAUUAGAUACCCUGGUAGUCCACGCCCUAAACGAUGUCAACUAGCUGUUGGGGCCUUCGGGCCUUGGUAGCGCAGCUAACGCGUGAAGUUGACCGCCUGGGGAGUACGGUCGCAAGAUU